UACAGAGGUCCCGAGCGUUGUUCGGAUUCACUGGGCGUAAAGGGUGCGUAGGCGGGUAAGUAAGUCCGUGGUGAAAUCUCUGAGCUUAACUCAGAAACUGCCGUGGAUACUAUUUGCCUUGAAUAUUGUGGAGGUGAGCGGAAUAUGUCAUGUAGCGGUGAAAUGCUUAGAUAUGACAUAGAACACCAAUUGCGAAGGCAGCUCACUACACAAUGAUUGACGCUGAGGCACGAAAGCGUGGGGAUCAAACAGG
rnacentral:rRNA from 1 species